AUCUGAGGGAGGGAAGGACACACAGCAGGUCACGCAACACGGAGACGGCAAAUGGCCACGUGGCCCUGUUCUGCCCAGGAGGAAAGACCUAGUCUCAGUAUGAAGGGUUUCAAGAGGUGGCUGGGCUUUCCCAAGCAAUGAGGACAGACUUCAAAGGAGUUCACAAAACAUGUGACUGAUCUCCACACGCUUAAGGCCAGUGCGAAGAACAGAACGAAAUCUGGCCGAAGACAAGAGAAUUUUUUAAAGCUCAAAUUUAACAAUCACGUGUGUGACAUGUCUUCUGGCCUCAUGUCUCCGCAUGGCUGGAAAAUCUCAAGGAGAAUUAUGGGUUUCACCCACGAGAAUCUGACCGUUCGUUCUCUGUAUGAAUGCAUGUGUAUGAAAAACUCAUGACAGCCAUACACCAGGACAGAAAGCCUGUGGCGAGAUCUGCACCCUCCACGGCAGGCACCCGACUCAAUGCUCGUGAUGCGAUGCAAGCCAGAUGGCUGAAACUCAGGGGACUCAGUCAUUCCCCUUGGGUCAGGCAGUAAUAACCGUGAGGGUCGGCAGCUGCCAGCUUCCCAGGAGGGUGACUCGCCAGGUAAGGUGGUUUAAAUGAGCAAUGUCUUCCUGAAGCUCAGACACUUAAACACUGGGUUUCUAAUGGGCGACACUGGAGAGGUUAUGGAUAGGGGCAG